UUUUUUUUUUUUUUUUUAAAUUUUCAGCAGCUGUUGCCACUGGCAUUUUAUUGUUCUUUGAUUUUUUAAAUAAAAAAUAUUUAGAUACAAUUUAUGGCAAUUUUACAUUUGUUUGGAGAGAUUGUGUUAUAACAUAUUAUUUGGAGUACUUAAAAUUAAGAAUUAGUUGUGUCGCUUGUAUCCCUGUUUUUUCAGAUUGGGCAUCCCUCUGCGCUUCCGUCUGGUCUUCUUUUCGGUUUGCUAGUGAUUGCUAUCUGCUGUGUGAAAGAGGAAGAGGGCCUCGAUAGACGACGCCGUUGGUAAUCGAUUUUUCCCUCUCUUUUUUUUCAGUAAAAGCUGGUCUGACCUAUUUACCACACUAGAGCGGGUCUGUCAUUUUCCAAUACUAGACGGGUCUAGUUUAGGUUGUGAAUUUAUCGGUCUGGUAUUUAGUGUUGACCUAGUAUUUAUCGGUCUCGUCAUUUAAGAGUGUAUCGAGUCCGGCUUGUCUGGUCUUACUUUGGUUUUAUCGGACAAUCGAUAGUGGCGAUAAUUUUAAGCGUGUGUAUAUCGCUUGGUAUUUUUAAUUAGUGUUGUCCUAGUAUUAAUCAGUCUUGUAGUGGUGCGGUCUCAUUCAUUCAUGCGUUUUAACGGCGUCAGUUGUACGGUCUCUCUUCGCUUAGCUUGGUGUAAAAACGUGUUCCGCUUGCAAAUUUUUACCUUCUUGCUGGCUGUUGCUGGAUACUGGGCUGGAAAUCUCGUCGUCAUUUCGCUGUGGUGUCUGUCAUCAGGCAGUUUUGUGUUCAUACGGCGAUCAGCGGGUCUAGGCAAGGCGUAAUUUGGAGAAAGGCAGCA
rnacentral:sRNA from 1 species